AUGUUGCAGUUACAGUUUGUGUGUUGUGCUUCCACGUCUCCUCCACCUGCUUAACACAGUUGCCACUUUCAGAAGACCUCAGCACUUUUUGCACUCUGCGCUGACGGAUGAUGAAAAAAGAAAUGAAUGUGCAGAAUGGAGAUAAAUUGCAGAUUUGAAAACAAACUGCUGCUUCUGUUUGGGUUUUUUGUGGGUCUUUGCAAUGGAGGAAUAUUGAAGAGAUGGCAGUGCAAUAAGAAGGUUUGCUGCAACAACAUUAAAGGAUUAUUGACCAACUGUUGAUUCCAUACAGACUGUGAAAGGAAGAGGAAGUCUGUCUGUGGGCUCUUUUUUUCCCCUCUUUGGAAUGUACAUGGAAGAUGGGAACCAGCCAGCAAGUGAUAUGUUUGAUGACAAACAGGGCAUUUAUUGAGUAAUCCCAAUAUAAAACCCUGCGUGAACACGAUUGACGACUGAGAGAAUCAUAUUCAGUUGACUAAGGAUCAGUUAUUUGCAAUGAGCGUCCACAAGAAGACCAACUUUUUGUCCAUUGGCCCAGUUUCGUCAGCCCUGAUGUGUUCAGCUACUCUGGCCACUGCUGACAUUCCUGGACCUCCGGCGAAAGGAGCCUUUUCCUCAGAAGGCUUCAAAGACAAAGAGAAGGAGAAAAAAAAGGAGGUGGCAAAAUGUAACAACCAGACACAAACAUCUCCAUCCCGUGUGGUGGAGGAGUUCUUCUGGAUAGGCAACAGUAUUGUGGCCUUCUCAAAGUGGAGGCUUGGCUACAUAGUGGAGAAAUGUAUGAGCUCCAUGCAGAUGGGUACGCAGAUGGUGAAGCUCCGUGGCAGCUCUAAGGGACUGGUGCGGUUCUUCUAUCUGGAUGAACACAAGUCCUGUAUCCGCUGGAGGCCGUCGCGCAAGAAUGAAAAGGCCAAGAUCUCUAUAGAUUCCAUCCGGGAAGUGUGCGAGGGUAAGCAGUCUGAGAUCUUCCAGCGUUAUGCUGAGGGCAGCUUUGACCCCAACUGUUGCUUCAGUUUGUACUACGGAGAGCACAUGGAGUCCCUGGAUCUUGUGUCUGGUACCGGUGAGGAAGCACGUACCUGGAUCACUGGCCUCAAAUACCUGAUGGCUGGCAUCAGUGACGAGGACAGCCUGGCCAAGAGGCAGCGUACCCGAGACCAAUGGCUCAAACAGACUUUCACAGAGGCUGAUAAGAAUGGAGAUGGGAGCUUAAGCAUUAGUGAGGUCCUUCAGCUCCUACAUAAGCUCAACGUCAACCUACCCAGACAGAAGGUCAAACAGAUGUUCAAGGAGGCAGACACGGAUGACAAGCAAGGAACCCUGGGCUUUGAAGAGUUCUGCUCCUUCUACAAGAUGAUGUCCACUCGCAGAGACCUGUACCUCCUGAUGCUCACAUACAGCAACCACAAAGACCACCUUGACGCUGAUGACUUGACCCGCUUUCUGGAGACAGAGCAGAAGAUGACCAAAGUGAGCAAGGACCAUUGUCUGGAGAUUAUCAAGAAAUUUGAGCCAUGUUCGGAGAAUCAGAAGCAAGGAGUUUUAGGAAUUGAUGGGUUUACUAAUUACAUGCGCAGCCCUGCAGGGGAUAUCUUCAACCCAGAUCACUACAACGUGAACCAGGACAUGAGCCAGCCGCUGUGCAACUACUUCAUCGCUUCCUCACACAACACGUACUUGAUGGGAGACCAGCUAAUGUCCCAGUCCAGGGUGGACAUGUAUGCCUGGGUACUGCAGGCCGGCUGCCGCUGUGUUGAGGUGGACUGCUGGGAUGGUCAAGAUGGCGAACCUAUUGUUCAUCAUGGCUACACUCUGACCUCCAAGAUCCUCUUCAAAGACGUUAUUGAAACCAUCAACAAAUAUGCCUUCGUCAAGAAUGACUACCCGGUUAUCCUGUCCAUAGAGAACCACUGCAGUGUCCCUCAACAAAAGAAGAUGGCCCAGUACCUCAUUGAUAUUCUAGGGGACAAACUGGAUGUUUCGAACAUCAAAGCAGAAGACUCCGGACGGCUCCCCUCACCAGAGAACCUUAAGGGAAAGAUCCUUGUUAAGGGUAAAAAAUUGCCACCGAACAUUGACGAGAAUGCGGAGGAGGGAGAUGUGUCGGAUGAAGACAGUGCAGACGAGAUGGAGGACGACUGCAAGCUGAUGAAUGGAGAUAUGUCAGCCAACAGGAAGCAAGUGGAGAACAUGGCCAAGAAAAAGCUAGACAACCUGAUGAAGGAGUCCAAGAUACGAGACAGAGAAGACCCAGAUAGUUUCACCAUCGCUGCCCUUCCACCUGCUGGUGAUUUAGAAAAGACUGGUUCUAAGGCUAAAGGGCAGGAUGGUGCAGUCACAUCAGAGGAGGCUAACACCAGCAGCAAUAAGCGUGCAAGCCAUUCGUUCAUGGGGAGUUUCUCAAAACGCAAGAAAAAACCAACGAAGCUGAAGAAGACCUCAAGCUUGGAAGACACCGAUACGGACCAAGAAAGCACCAGCAGUGCGUCACGAGCACCCCUACAUCACAACAAAAAGAAGAAAACCAUGAAGUUAUCCAGAGCUCUGUCUGACCUGGUCAAAUACACGUGCUCGGUGGGCCUCUAUGACAUUGACGCACAAGCCAACUGCACCUGGCAAGUGUCUUCCCUGAGUGAAACCAAAGCCCACCAGGUGAUGCAGCAAAAAGCCAGUGUGUUCAUCCAUUUUAACCAGCGACAGCUCUCACGCAUCUACCCGUCUUCUUAUCGCGUGGACUCCUCAAACUUCAACCCUCAGCCCUUCUGGAAUGCUGGCUGCCAACUUGUUGCACUCAACUAUCAGUCAGAGGGUCGAGUCCUUCAGCUCAACAGAGCCAAGUUCUACAGCAAUGGCAACUGUGGCUACAUCAUCAAACCCAGCUGCAUGUGUGAAGGUGCCUUUAAUCCCAAUUUGGAGGAUCCACUGCCAGGUCAGAUGAAGAAGCAACUGGUGUUGAAGAUCAUCAGUGGACAGCAGCUGCCCAAACCCAAAGACUCGAUGCUGGGGGACAGAGGAGAGAUCAUUGAUCCCUUUGUGGAAGUGGAGAUCAUUGGCCUCCCAGUGGACUGCUCCAAGGAGCAAACCCGAGUGGUGGAUGAUAAUGGUUUCAACCCGAUGUGGGAGGAGACUCUGGUGUUUACAGUUCACAUGCCAGAGCUGACCCUUGUGCGUUUCCUCGUGUGGGACCAUGACCCCAUUGGUCAAGAUUUCAUUGGCCAGAGGACUAUUGCCUUCAACAGCAUGAUGCCAGGUUAUCGCCAUGUGUACUUAGAAGGUAUGGAAGAGGCUUCCAUCUUUGUUCAUGUAGCUGUGCAUGACAUAACUGGUAAGUCGCCCCCUUUUUUCCCAAAUGAUUCAUUUCAAAACCGGACAUUUUUAGGAACGUUGAAGCUGCCACUGAUAACUCAGGCCAGAGCAGUCAGCGGUAUAAAAGGGCUCUUUCACAGAAACCCAAAGCAAGCUUCCCUGGACAGCCAUGCUGUUGCACAGCACAGCCGUAAGCAACCAUUUGGUGCCCACCUCCUGCGCCGCACUGCCAGUGCACCAACCAAAGGUCAGCCCAAAGUCAAGAAGGGCCUCCCUGAGAUCGCCAUCAACACCAAAGACUGUAGCUCAGAGGGCACAAGUGAGGACAGAGAGUCUGAGGACAAGGCCUCUGCUUCCUCCUCUCACCAGCCCACACCACCACAACUCCGCAAUGGAGAUUCACUGGCAUCCCACCAAGCCAAGGGCCCAUGGGAACACCCUGACACCAAUGGGACUUUUCACACUGAGGGUAAAGGUAAGAGCCCUCGUUUUGCUCCUCAACGUCCUAUGAGUGAGCCUCUUAAACGGGCCAGCCGGCUACGCUUUCACGAUCCAGAAAUGAAACCAGGGGUUUUCGCCCGAGUUGCACUUAACAGCUCAGGCAGGGUGGGAAUGUCUUCCAACUGUAUAACAUGUGUGAUUGGCUCCAAGGAAAGUCCAGAGGCAGAAAGAAAGGGUUGUGCUGAGGAAGGGCAGGGAUCAAAGUCAAAAAUGUCAGAAGAACAGGAAAGAAAGAAUUGCUCACCCAGGAAAAGAGGUCAGUCAGAACCUGCAGCUCGUCGGCAGCCAAAAGCUACUCAUCCAGAAUCCCAGUCGCUUCCUCACUCUAAGGAGGCCCAAUUUCAGUACUCAUCCCAGGCUUUCCUUCGACCUAAGCCCUUCCCCAGAUCCAAAGCCAGGCAGAGCCUGGCUGCCCAGCACAUCCAAACACUGCCCGACGCCUCACAAAGGAAUGCCCUGUCUUGCAACAUUCCUCGUAGACGCUUUCCCAACACUGUCACACCUGUGCAGAGCCUCACACCAGAUUGCAGGACCAACCUCCGUUGGCACCAGGCAACAGUACCCAAAUACGGUACUGUGUGUGGCCCAGCAUUUAUGCCGUUCACAAACGGUGAUAUGAAUCAGUGUUUCUCACUGAGUGAUGACAGCAGUAGCUGUGACAGCUUUGACAGCCUGAGCAGCUUUGACUCACCCCCAGUGCUGCCUCUGAGUUCUGUUCUUGACAGCCGUAAGAGAGCUGUAGGCACUCUUCAACGUGAGAUGAAUGCCCUGUUCGCUCAAAAAAUGGAGGAGUUACGUCAAAAGUCGCCCCUGUUCUUUGCUGGUAAGAUGCUCACGAGGCAUAAAAUGCAGCUGACUGUUUUGUAGAUGUUGUAGAUCAUUUGUAGUUUUUUUUUUUUUUUUUAACUUGACCCCAAACCUUCUAGAUCACUUAUGUUAAAUAGGAUUUCUCCUUCUAUACCCGCUCAUAGACAUCGCAGACCCUAGAAUCUUAUGUGACCCUAAUACAGUGUUUUGUUUAAUUUAAUGAGUUUCACUUAAUGAUGAGCAGUAGUUGUGACAAUUUAAUAAUACACGUGGUUGAAAUUGUUGGUAUUCUUACACCAAAGAAGGAAAAACCCACAAGAAUGCCUGAAAUUACUGGAAAUCCACAAAAGUGAUAAUACAGAAAAAAUUACUAAAAAAUUAACAUGUGCGCCUACACAUGAAUUAAAAACUUAGUUUUGUCGGUAAACACAAGAAUCUAGUUACAGAGUGCGUCGGCGGAAGAAUGCAUGCGGGCCGUAGCACAAGAAUAUGCAGUAUGGGCCUCUUCAGCUACACUGAGGAAGAGUAACACCACUUAUUAGUUAACUUUUUACACUACAUUAUCUCUCCCAAGUGGUAGUGCGGUAAAGAAAAGGAAAGCCAUCACCAUGGAAGUGGAAAAUUAACAAUUAAAAUCUCUAAAAGAGGAGAUAUACCCACAUUGGCCACUCUUUAAGGAUAAGGAUGAAGAUUUUUGAAUACUAGAGGGGUAAUGGAUUUGAUGCACUGAUACAAGGAGAUCUGUGGGUGGAACAGGAAGUCAUCCUUUCAGACUAGCCUGGAACAUUAUUUUAAGAAGGUAGAAAGGCCUGCAAGACAACCACUGGAAUAAAAGUAAGAAGGAGCGCUCUUUUUAUUGCCGUUUCAUUUAAUUAUUGUAUUCCUGUGUACAGUGUGAGUGACUUAAUUAAAGUAUAACUUCCUACUUACUACACUUUAACUCGACUUACAUCACAGUCUGGGAACGGAACCUGCUCGUAAGGCAAGGACCACAUGUAGUGUAAUGUCUCGCCCUUAGCAAUUCUUGAAUGUUUUUGGCCAUUGUCCUUUUGCAGGACCCAUGACCUGUGGCUGAGACCAAGCUUUCUGGCAACACAGUUGGCUCCAGAAUGCCUUGAAUAUAUAGUCUUGAGAUUUCAUUGUACCCUGCGCACAUUAAAGACACCCAGACAGCCUUGGAACAAAACGGAGUCGCCAUGUUUUAUAGUGGGUAUGCUGUUCAUUUUGCGUCUGUAAACCUAGAGUUUAUGUGACUUGGCAAACAAAUCUCCUAGAAGCUUUAUAGCUCGUCAGUGUGCAUUUUGGCAAAUUCCAGUAUUUUCUUUAAUUAUGACUUUUGUCUGUUCAAGUUAUUUCAGUGACCAUUUUAGUGUUUGUUUCACAGAAGGGUACCAACAAUUUUAUCCACCUCUUUAGCUAUCCCUAAAACAGCAUUAAACAACUAAAUCCCUCUUCUUUCUACACAUAUUUGAUUUAAACUGUGCUUGUCUUUGCCCAAAAUACGCAAUCUGAUACUCCCUACUUGCCCAGCAGAUGACACAACUGGUAAGUUUUGAAAUAUAAUUUACUUAUGACCUAAACCAGGGGUCACCAACCUGUCGAUCCCGAGCUACUAGUCGAUCUUUGGGACUUUGCCGGUCAAGCAGGAGAAUAUUAGAAAAAAAAUAUCAUCAGUGAGAAACAUGGAAUUGAGAUUCCUAUCUAUGGUUUCAUUCCAUUCAUCCAUUGUCCAGAGUUUUCUUCUUCUAGUUUUGGUCCAAUAUUUACUAAAUAAUUGUUGAACAUUCCAACUACCUCAUUCAUAUCAUCCUUAUUAGUGUUUCCAAUCAUGGGUAAUCCAGGGUAAUCUGCUUUCUUAGUGCUGUUCCCUAUAAUACUAUUUAAGAUACCCCAGGUUGCUCUAAUGUUAUUUUUAUUCUUAUCUAGUAAAUUACUAUAAUAUUCCCUCUUGCACACUCUCAAGAUUGUUGUCAACUUAUUUUUAUACUUUUUUCUGCUUCUUUAGUUUGUUGAAUGAUAAAUUUCCUGUAUAAUGCAUUCUUCUUCUUACAGGCGUGUUUUUAGUCCUUUUGUCAUCCGUGGCUGGCUGUUUUUCCUUUUGCUUCUUGGACUUUUCUCAUCAGCGCGCAGCAAUGUGACUGCUCACGCAACAGUAAUUAUUGCACGUUGUGGCUCAAAAAUCAGCCUUUGCUACCACAAAAUGAAGGCACAAAUAUAACUCCAUAGAUGUGUACCUCCAAAAAAACGCUGCUCAUUAGGACUGACUGUCGUAACGCAGUCCCUCGCCCCUCAACCACCAUCGCUUUGCUCGCCCACAACACGGAGUCAACCAGCCAAAUAGAUUUGUAGUUUGCUCAUAGAGCCGACGCCGCAACCCCGAUCCCGACAAAGAUCCACAAAAGUAGGGGUGCCCAAAGUGCGGCCCCAGGGGCCAUCUAUGGACCUUGGCUAAUCUGUCAUUGCAUCACACAUGUCAUUUCAGAAACAACAUCAAAUUAAAAAAAACAGCAAAACUGGUAAAAAUAGCACAAAAGGCAGAUCUUGCGCAGGUUUACGGCUGAGACCAGAGAUCUUGGUUUCCAAAAGGUUGGUGACCACUGGCCUAAACAUUUCAUAUUUGGGUUGUGAAACAGUUGUAUUAUAUUUUAUCACUCCAAUAGUUUGGAAAUUGAACCAGGUACAUACAAGUCCUGCUUUCAACUUAUAGUAAAUUCGCUUUAAUAAAGAACGCAGACUCAAUAUAUUCACGUAACCGUCAUGUAUUUUCUGCAGUCUCGUGUUAGGUUUCUGGCAUUAGUUGUGUAUAAACCACCAUACUGUAGAUUGUAUGUCCCUCAACAUAUUGAAUGUAAUGAUACCAUUUUUAAUGACUAGUUUGGUGGGGGAAAAAAAGUCAAAAAUAAAUAUAACAAGAAAUGGUAAUACAGUGGAACUCUGGUUUCCAUUAUUAAUCCUCCCGGAAGGUCAGAUGAAAACCGAAACGUACGAAAACCGAAGCAAUGUUUUCCAUAGGCAAUAAUCCAAUUAACCCGUUCCGGACACCCAGAAACGUGAACAAAAAAAACAUUUUAUAGAGAAUAUUGAUAGUUUUACAUGCAGAAAACCAUGUGAAAUACAUCACAUUUACCUUUUAUUGAAGACUUGUUGGUGAACACAGCGAUGGGAUCAGUGGAGGGACACACACUGGCCCGACUCAGUUUCUGUAAUGUGUGUCUGUUACACCGUUCUCCCUGCAAACUGCAUUAAAGGUUCCUACUUUUACAUUACAUUGCAACGCUACAGAUGCUACCGACUUCUUUAUUGAAAUCAAUAGUGUUUCUCACCUUCUUUAUCAAAGUUCUGGCACUUGCAACUGUCUUUGGCGUCAUGGUGGCCUUAAUAAAAAAACAGAACACUUAAAUAUGCAGUGCGCUUGAAUGCUUCUUCAGCUCUGGGCGCACAGUUGCUUAUUAGGAGGAAGAAAGGAGACAGAAACUGAGGAUUUCAGAGUUUUAUGUGUGUUCGAUGAAGAAAAAAAACACACACCGAAUCUGUCUAUAGUGUCGCAACUCUUAAAGAAUCACUAUCCAUGCUUCACAGAGUCACCAACGCCUGGAUGCUUUGUUUGGGCAAUGUUUGGCCUUACGAAAACCGAGACAUACUUUUGGCACCAAAUUGGUGUACGAAAACCGAGGUUCCACUGUAAUACAAGAAAUGGUAUCUUAAAUGUUUCUUAGGGAGUCAUGACAAUGACAAACACUUAAUACAAUAACAUAAAGUGUUGACAGGUAAUGUUAGGUAUAAUUAACUAUAUUAAAAUACUUUUAUAUCAUUGAUAUCCAUUUGUAAGAUUCAGAGUUGAGUGAUUCCAAAUGGAUGGAUGACUGACAGCCUAGUUAAGGACAGCAGAGUGUUUUUUCAUUAAGGCAAAAUAAUUUUAAAAUACAAGGUACGGCGUCAAGGUCAACGUAUUCCUAAUUUAUCUCAGUGAAAUUUUCCUCCCCUAAACUACUCGUCUUUCACUUUAACUCAGGACUUUUUCCAAUGUCUUUCUAUACUGCAAUAUAUUUCCAUGAGGUCAGUCCAUAAUCUUUAAAAGAUGUGUUUUUCUCUUGAAGCUGUCUCCUAGCCCCCCCCAUCUCCUUCUCUUUCCAGUUUUUGCUGAACUCCUUUUUCCUGUUUUUCCCUUUGCACGCUCUCUCUGUUCCUAGUGCAGAAUUGCGGGGAUGACCAGAUCCAGACUGUUCCAUAGCACAGAGUCCAACUGCACUGCUUCCAUUUCCUGCACGAAAUCACUCUGGGGAUUCGAAG